rnacentral:tRNA from 1 species
GCGCGGCGAAAGCCGUAGCUGGUAAGAAAAUCCGUUUUCCGUAAGGAAGUGGGGGUUCGAUCCCCCCCGCCCGCACCA